CUUAUUCUAAGGUUAGUAGCCAUCAAUUCAUUGGCUUUGUACCCAUUUUCUUGGGAUUAAUGAUGCAUUUCGUGAUGAAUUGAUCAAGGAGGGCUUUUUUCUCCAUUUUUGGAUCAUUUCUCAUCAUUGGGGCUUCUUUUUUUGUUGUUUGAGUGAACCAACUUGUGAUAGGUUUGUAGCUAGCAAUCCAUUUGAUUCAUAGCCUUUAUCUUAGGAUUAGUCAUUCAUUUUGUGAUGAAUUGAUCAAGGAGAGUCUCUUUUUCUUCACUUUAGGAUAAAUUCUCAUGAACACUCAUCAUGAAGUCAUCAUGGAGGCUCAUUAAAUUUUGAGGACUGGACUUCACAUAUUUGAUUCAAGAUGAAUCGAGGUUGGAUGUAUGGUACAAAGGCUGGAAAUUUGGAUUUUGUCAAUGGUGUGGACUCGUUUGUGCAGACUGCCAAGGCACACAAGAAUCUACAAGAUGAUGGCUACGUGUAUUGCCCAUGCAUUGAUUGCAAAAAUCAGAAGCAGUUUGGCAAUGUUGAGCAGAUCCGCUUUCAUCUGUUAUUUAGAGGUUUUAUGCCCAACUACCAAGUUUGGAACAAGCACGGUGAGGUUGGUGAGACAA